GCAAAGCUUUCGAUCUGUAAGCCCGGAUCUUCAUCAGUGCUAAUAAUACGUAUUAUUAGCACCGAAUGAAGAUCCGGGCUUACGGAUCGAAACCU